rnacentral:lncRNA from 1 species
CGAACCGGAACCGAAUCCAAAAUUCUUUAGCGGAGCAAGAGUCUCUAUUGGGCUGGGCCUACUAAUCAAUUUGAAAGUCUCUAGCUGAGCAAGAGUCUUCCACAUACCAUUGACAAAAGCAAACUUUUUACACACGUAAGUCGUAAUAACCAUUACAGAAAUGUCACACACUAGUGGAAGAGUACAAGAUACUUUGUUAUUUUAAUAUUUGGUAUUAGAAAAAGUGGAAAACUAUAAAAUGUUGAAGAUGAAUAUCUAUAGUUUUACUGUUUAGGUACUAAGUGAUUGGUAACCAUCUUCCCGGUUCUUUCUCCGGUAUACCACGGCGACUAUUAGAACCACAACCGCCACCGUCACUGCAAGAAAGGCUAAAAAGCUCAUACUGCUCGAAUGUGCCUGCAAAGAAAUAAUGAAUACUGACGUUAAGUAAAGUAACACACAUGGUAAUAACCGGUUUGACCUAAACCGAGAUCUGUUACCGGCAGUUUCGGUCCAGGCAGCUGCUGAGAAACGAGGAUGUAAAAGAGUCCCAUGACUCCUGUAUGACCAAUGACAUUACUGUAAUUGAACUCCAAAGACAGUGUCUCUCCAUUAGUCACUUUCACCGGUUCAGGAUAACAAGACGACAUUCCAACGAUGUAACCAGCUUCGCUUCCAGGCUCAUCUCCAUUGCCAUACUUCGGCAUCGAGGAGCAUAUUACCUCACCGUCCUGAUCAAAAUCCAUAACACAAGAGUCUCAGUUUUUGAGUAAAAAGUUUUUGCCUUAGCUUAAAACCUUAGGUUGGGUGUUUAUACCCAAACCCGAAAUCCGAACUGAGACCAAACCAAAAUUCUAUCUAAACCAUCAUAAAAAAUAUCCAAAUAGAGUCUAAGAAUACUUUCGGACUCGGGUACAAUCCAAACCAAACUAAAAUCCGUACUAGAAUCCAAAAAAUCCACAUUAGUUAAUCUGUUAAUGUUUUUUUCUACAUAUGUUACGUUAAGAUAGUUUAGAAAUUUUUAAAAAAAUUAGAAUUUUUUGUAGUUUUUAUAGGAAUUGCGAAUCGUUAUUUUGGAAUACUUUUAAUUAGUUUAGGUAGCUUGACAAGUUUUUAAUCAGAUUUUUGAUUUUUUUAUAUAUUUUAAAUAUGUUUUUGUCAAUUUCAUUAAUUUUAUUUCCAGAUUUAAGUACGAUUUUUAGACAAUGGUUAUAAUUUGAUUUGAACCAAACUCAUACCAAAUCGAAUCAAACCCGAUCCAAAAACUAGUAAAAUAUGAAUAAGACCAUUGUGCAUGAUACCGAAAAUCCAAAACAAACCCCGAACAAGACACCAAACGUCCGGGCCUGUUAAAAACUAACCUCUCGGUACAGAGCUGCACCGAUACCACCUGCGUGCUGGUGAGCUACUCCAUAGACAAUAUACCCGUUAAACGGCAUCAAUGGUUAUAAUUUGAUUUGAAUCAAACACAUACGAAAUCGAAUCAAACCCGAUCCAAAAACUAGUAAAAUAUGAAUAAGACCAUUGUGCAUGAUACCGAAAAUCCAAAACAAACCCCUAACAAGACACCAAACGUCCGGGCCUGUUAAAAACUAACCUCUCGGUACAGAGCUGCACCGAUACCACCUGCGUGCUGGUGAGCUACUCCAUAGACAAUAUACCCGUUAAACGGCAUCAUUAAGCUCUUUUUCUUAACAUCGACACACCCAUCACCCUUAGUUUUGCACGGUUUCACGUCAUAUUCCACCUGAAAAGAAAACAAUUAAUACACCUUAGCUAACGUUAAAAGCAUUAAUAAGCAGAGAUGUGAAAAGUCUUUACUGACAUGACAAAAAUGUUCUUGGUUAUCUCCUGUUGAUCCUUCUGACCGUUCCCAAGAAUCCGUUACAUCGAGAAUAUAAACCUUAGCCGGCAACAAAACCGAGCUGUCCCAAUCAACCCAUCUCACAGUAUACUUAAGAUACACAGUUCUUGUUUUGUUUCCACUUUCGAAUCCGUUUCUUAACCGACAUUGAGUCUUAUCGUAGCAGCAGUCUUGACCUCCUUUGUAUCCAGGUUCUAAAGCUCGACCGUACUCAUCAACCGUUACAUUAUAAAGACCACACCGACACUCGGUGCAUCCUUGUUUAUCCACAACCCCUCUAGUGUCAAUAGCGUGAAUAUUUAGAAGCCAUUUGAACUCAUACCCAUCAGGUACUUUCUCCGGGUUACCGAUCUCGAUCGCGUAAGGAUCAGGAACAUACGUCGAAGUCUUGCGUGUUUCUGAUCCUAACCCAAAGUAUUGUCUAACUCUGUUCCUACACAACCCUCCGUUACUAACGAGAAUAUAAUCAGGGCUCGAACCAAGGUUCCUAGGCGUGUCUAGGUGCGAAAGGUUGAGACCUUUACGCACGUAGUAAGGGUGCACAACCCAGUGGUGGAGAUAUGUCUCGUGUAACGGGACGGGGUUACCGUCUUGGUCGACUACUUCGGCGUCGAAACCUUUGAGGCCGAUGUGGCCUCUAGGGAAAUCGAUGUCGAACAGGUAAGGGUCUGCGACUGAUCCUGGAGUCAUGACUUGUUUUGGUGAUAGGAAACUUGCGGACUUGAUGUUAAUGCUGUGGCUAGGCGAUAUGCUUAACGCGACCAGAAGAAGAAGUAAGGACGAGAUGAUCAGGUAACAACGAGCCAUUUUGUCCUGUUUCGAUAUCGUUAUAGAGAGGUAAUAAAUGAAGUAAAACUGAUAAAAUACGUAAUCAUGAACCGGUUUGACCUAAACCGAGAUCUGUUACCGGCAGUUUACCUGCAAGAAGCUCUCCGGUCCAGGCAGCUGCUGAGAAACGAGGAUGUAAAAGAGUCCCAUGACUCCUGUAUGACCAAUGACAUUACUGUAAUUGAACUCCAAAGACAGUGUCUCUCCAUUAGUCACUUUCACCGGUUCAGGAUAACAAGACGACAUUCCAACGAUGUAACCAGCUUCGCUUCCAGGCUCAUCUCCAUUGCCAUACUUCGGCAUCGAGGAGCAUAUUACCUCACCGUCCUGAUCAAAAUCCAUAACACAAGAGUCUCAGUUUUUGAGUAAAAAGUUUUUGCCUUAGCUUAAAACCUUAGGUUGGGUGUUUAUACCCAAACCCGAAAUCCGAACUGAGACCAAACCAAAAUUCUAUCUAAACCAUCAUAAAAAAUAUCCAAAUAGAGUCUAAGAAUACUUUCGGACUCGGGUACAAUCCAAACCAAACUAAAAUCCGUACUAGAAUCCAAAAAAUCCACAUUAGUUAAUCUGUUAAUGUUUUUUUCUACAUAUGUUACGUUAAGAUAGUUUAGAAAUUUUUAAAAAAAUUAGAAUUUUUUGUAGUUUUUAUAGGAAUUGCGAAUCGUUAUUUUGGAAUACUUUUAAUUAGUUUAGGUAGCUUGACAAGUUUUUAAUCAGAUUUUUGAUUUUUUUGUAUAUUUUAAAUAUGUUUUUGUCAAUUUCAUUAAUUUUAUUUCCAGAUUUAAGUACGAUUUUUAGACAAUGGUUAUAAUUUGAUUUGAAUCAAACACAUACGAAAUCGAAUCAAACCCGAUCCAAAAACUAGUAAAAUAUGAAUAAGACCAUUGUGCAUGAUACCGAAAAUCCAAAACAAACCCCUAACAAGACACCAAACGUCCGGGCCUGUUAAAAACUAACCUCUCGGUACAGAGCUGCACCGAUACCACCUGCGUGCUGGUGAGCUACUCCAUAGACAAUAUACCCGUUAAACGGCAUCAUUAAGCUCUUUUUCUUAACAUCAACACACCCAUCACCCUUAGUUUUGCACGGUUUCACGUCAUAUUCCACCUGAAAAGAAAGCAAUUAAUACACCUUAGCUAACGUUUUUAAGUAAUAAAAGCAUUAAUAAGCAGAGAUGUGAAAAGUCUUUACUGACAUGACAAAAAUGUUCUUGGUUAUCUCCUGUUGAUCCUUCUGACCGUUCCCAAGAAUCCGUUACAUCGAGAAUAUAAACCUUAGCCGGCAACAAAACCGAGCUGUCCCAAUCAACCCAUCUCACAGUAUACUUAAGAUACACAGUUCUUGUUUUGUUUCCACUUUCGAAUCCGUUUCUUAACCGACAUUGAGUACUAUUAUAAGCUUUAGUUUGUUAACACUAUUAUACAAGAUUUGUAACAAACUUUAAGAUCAUUAAUGAAUAAAUCAACAUUCUUCUUUGAAUCAAGAACACUUCAAUAACUCCACUCUAAAUCAUCAUAAUCCAAUCAGAUCAGAACCAUAUACUAACCACAAACGCGUUUCAGAGAGUUUAGCGAUAUACAAUACCUUCGUAAUCACCAUUCUUCGAAACGAUCCAGCGACCAUCAAACGCCUCAUCGAACGAUUCAUACAACACCUGAACACAAAUCCAACGAGCUCAGAUCUAAAAAAUCUUCAGAUCUACGAUAACAUUCGGAAACAUUUUCCCGAGAAAAAUCGAAAUCUACCGUAUUAUCGUCGCAGUGGCAAAGGUUCUGGAGCGAGAGGAGAGCUAGGAUAAGCAUAAGGCCGGAGAAUAGCUGCCGGUCUCUCAUCAUCGGAACGGUUCGAGUAGAUCGGAGGGAGAAGAGAGAGAGAGAGAGAGAGAGUGGAAUCUAUUUUUUUUUUUUCCUGAAGAUUUUAGUUUCUCUGAGUGAUUUAUAUAUUUAAAUCCCGUAGACUCGGUCGAGUGUGUCGAUUUUUGUUGUUUCCACCAAUGAGAUCGCUCGCCACGUGGUGAGAGCCAAUAGAUGGACGCCACGUCAUGCGAAAGAGAGGUAUCCUACGUGCGCAAUUUGUAUUGCUACGUAAUGUGCAUGUUUAUUAUACAGAUAGUCUAACGUCAGUAUUGGGCUGGGCCUGUAAUCAAUUUAAAAGUCUCUGGUAGAGUAAGAGUCUUCUAGAAGCAAAAGUAACACAUUUAUCAGGAACAAAGAACCAAAUCAAACUAAACUAAAAAAAAUGAGGUUUGGUUCGGAUUUAGAUCAUAUAAUACACGAAUGAACGGAUCCUAUAACUUUUGAACUGAAAAACCAAAACCAAACUGGAGCAAACAAAGACCCGAAUGGAUACCCGAAUUUUUAUAAUAUAAUAUAUACACUUAUAAAUAUUAACUACAUUUAGUUUCAAAAUGAUAAAAUAAUUUGAAAUACUAUUUCUAAAAACUAAAUCUCCAAAUACAUUUUAUCCGAAAUAUUUUAAAUUAUUUGAACUAUCCAAAUUUUACCUAAAUUAUUGGAUAAAAAUCUAACAUUUAGUAAAAAAAAGACUGAAUUUACUUACUUUUUUUUGAAACACAUCUGAAUUUUCUUACUUUUAACAAAACUUAACAAAAAAACUAAAAUCGAACGGCUAACGAAUAUGAUCCAAAAAUGACCUCGGAUAUUAUUCGGUUUUUAAUUUUGUUAUCUAAACUAAACUGAAAAAUGAAAUAACCGAAUCAGAACCAAAGUGAAUCCUAAACAUCUAAAACUGAAAAGCAGAAAAAAUCGAAAGAACCGAACCGGAACCGAAUCCAAAAUUCUUUAGCGGAGCAAGAGUCUCUAUUGGGCUGGGCCUACUAAUCAAUUUGAAAGUCUCUAGCUGAGCAAGAGUCUUCCACAUACCAUUGACAAAAGCAAACUUUUUACACACGUAAGUCGUAAUAACCAUUACAGAAAUGUCACACACUAGUGGAAGAGUACAAGAUACUUUGUUAUUUUAAUAUUUGGUAUUAGAAAAAGUGGAAAACUAUAAAAUGUUGAAGAUGAAUAUCUAUAGUUUUACUGUUUAGGUACUAAGUGAUUGGUAACCAUCUUCCCGGUUCUUUCUCCGGUAUACCACGGCGACUAUUAGAACCACAACCGCCACCGUCACUGCAAGAAAGGCUAAAAAGCUCAUACUGCUCGAAUGUGCC